CUUUCAUGAUGAGAUCUUCCAUUUCAGUUCUGCUUCUGAAGAAGAAUGAAGAUACCUAUAUACCAAAAAACAAACUCUGAUAU
rnacentral:snoRNA from 1 species